AUGGAAAGCAUCUGGCUGGGUCUGGGCGUCGAUCGACACGCGCGGCCUGAUGAGCAGAAACGUGUGCGUCCACAGCAGCCAGCAAAGCGGUCGCGCCGCCGCAUGGGCAGCACUGCACAGCACAGCACAGCACAGCAGCUUGGGCUCUUCGGCCAGUUCUUCAAAGCCAUUCGCACCAGAACCAUCUCCGAUCUCUCUCGUCGCCUCCUGCAAGGCAAGAUGAGGUUCUGGUCUCUGCUCGCCGUGGCAUGGCUGCCCGUUCUGCAGGUCCUCCUCGCCGGCGGCCUCGGCGCCUGCCUCGCGUCCAGCCGUUUCGACGUCCUCACCUCCGAUGCUCGGAGGCACAUAAACAAGGUUGUUUACAUCGUGUUCGUCCCGUCGCUCGUCUUCUCGAGCUUGGCAGGCACCGUCACGCUCAAGGACAUCAUUUCCUGGUGGUUCAUGCCAGUGAACAUGGGCAUCAUAUUCCUCAUCGGAGCAACUCUCGGAUGGCUGGCCGUCAAGGCCCUGAGGCCAGGAGCACAUCUUCAGGGGCUUGUCAUUUCUUGCAGCUCAGCAGGUAACUGGGGAACCAUUCCUCUGAUGAUUGUCCCGGCGAUUUGCAGCGAGGAGGACAGCCCCUUUGGUGAUGCCGACACCUGCAACUCUCUCGGCCUCUCCUACGUCUCGCUGUCCAUGGCGCUAGGGAAUUUCUUUAUCUGGACUCAUAGCUACAGCGUCAUGAAGAGAUCUGCUCAGCUGUACAAGAAAUGCGGUGAUCCUACAACUAACUUGACGAAAGAAGAAAACUCGGGAGAAGCUGAAAAUGGCAAUCAUGCGGCUUUUCUUCCCCUGUCGUCGGGGGAAUUUCACGAGGAUGUCGAGAGCGAGCCCGUCAGUUCUAGCUUGCCUGCCAACGAUGUUGCUGCUAGCUUCAUGCGCUGCUUAAGAAGAGCAAAGGAUCUGCUGGUAGAGAUACUGAAUGAACUGUGGUCACCUCCCAGUGUUGCCGCGCUCGUAGGGUUUACCGUCGGCGCGAUCGACAAGCUGAGACCGCUCAUUACGGAGGAAGACGCCCCUCUCCGAGUAGUCCAGGAUACUGCCAAGUUACUAGCAGAUGCCGCCAUACCAUGCACCGUCCUCAUACUUGGCGGAAACCUUACAAAAGGCAGAGGCAGGACGACGAUGAAGCCCCUGGUGGUCGUAUCGAUCAUCGCGAUACGCUUCGUCAUCCUCCCAGCGUGCGGAAUCGGGGUGGUGAAGGCUGCCAGCGAGCUCGGGUUCCUGCCAAGAUCGCCCCUGUACCGUUACGUUCUCCUGCUACAGUCCACGGUUCCCCCGGCCAUGAGCAUCGGGACGAUAGCUCAGCUGUUUGAUGUUGGGGAAGAGGAGUGCUCCAUCGUCUUCCUCUGGACGCACCUGGUUGCAUCUGGUCGACGGUGUUCAUGUCACUCGUGUCCUGAGGAUCUCUUCAGCAAGAAAAUCUUGCACCAGCAUAUUUGUACAAAUGUGUUUCAAGCAUUGUCAAGUGAUAACACAAAUAAGAUCUGCCCAGAGAUGAGCAACUGA
rnacentral:rRNA from 1 species